rnacentral:rRNA from 1 species
UAGAGUUUGAUCCUGGCUCAGGAUGAACGCUGGCGGCGUGCCUAAUACAUGCAAGUCGAGCGAACAGAUAAGGAGCUUGCUCCUUUGACGUUAGCGGCGGACGGGUGAGUAACACGUGGGUAACCUACCUAUAAGACUGGGAUAACUUCGGGAAACCGGAGCUAAUACCGGAUAAUAUUUCGAACCGCAUGGUUCGAUAGUGAAAGAUGGUUUUGCUAUCACUUAUAGAUGGAUCCGCGCCGUAUUAGCUAGUUGGUAAGGUAACGGCUUACCAAGGCAACGAUACGUAGCCGACCUGAGAGGGUGAUCGGCCACACUGGAACUGAGACACGGUCCAGACUCCUACGGGAGGCAGCAGUAGGGAAUCUUCCGCAAUGGGCGAAAGCCUGACGGAGCAACGCCGCGUGAGUGAUGAAGGUCUUCGGAUCGUAAAACUCUGUUAUUAGGGAAGAACAUACGUGUAAGUAACUAUGCACGUCUUGACGGUACCUAAUCAGAAAGCCACGGCUAACUACGUGCCAGCAGCCGCGGUAAUACGUAGGUGGCAAGCGUUAUCCGGAAUUAUUGGGCGUAAAGCGCGCGUAGGCGGUUUUUUAAGUCUGAUGUGAAAGCCCACGGCUCAACCGUGGAGGGUCAUUGGAAACUGGAAAACUUGAGUGCAGAAGAGGAAAGUGGAAUUCCAUGUGUAGCGGUGAAAUGCGCAGAGAUAUGGAGGAACACCAGUGGCGAAGGCGACUUUCUGGUCUGUAACUGACGCUGAUGUGCGAAAGCGUGGGGAUCAAACAGGAUUAGAUACCCUGGUAGUCCACGCCGUAAACGAUGAGUGCUAAGUGUUAGGGGGUUUCCGCCCCUUAGUGCUGCAGCUAACGCAUUAAGCACUCCGCCUGGGGAGUACGACCGCAAGGUUGAAACUCAAAGGAAUUGACGGGGACCCGCACAAGCGGUGGAGCAUGUGGUUUAAUUCGAAGCAACGCGAAGAACCUUACCAAAUCUUGACAUCCUUUGACCGCUCUAGAGAUAGAGUUUUCCCCUUCGGGGGACAAAGUGACAGGUGGUGCAUGGUUGUCGUCAGCUCGUGUCGUGAGAUGUUGGGUUAAGUCCCGCAACGAGCGCAACCCUUAAACUUAGUUGCCAGCAUUCAGUUGGGCACUCUAAGUUGACUGCCGGUGACAAACCGGAGGAAGGUGGGGAUGACGUCAAAUCAUCAUGCCCCUUAUGAUUUGGGCUACACACGUGCUACAAUGGACAAUACAAAGGGCAGCGAAACCGCGAGGUCAAGCAAAUCCCAUAAAGUUGUUCUCAGUUCGGAUUGUAGUCUGCAACUCGACUACAUGAAGCUGGAAUCGCUAGUAAUCGUAGAUCAGCAUGCUACGGUGAAUACGUUCCCGGGUCUUGUACACACCGCCCGUCACACCACGAGAGUUUGUAACACCCGAAGCCGGUGGAGUAACCAUUUUGGAGCUAGCCGUCGAAGGUGGGACAAAUGAUUGGGGUGAAGUCGUAACAAGGUAGCCGUAUCGGAAGGUGCGGCUGGAUC